UUACGGCCAUAUCACGUUGAAACAUCGGUUGCCGUACAGUUACCGAAGUUAAGCAACGUCGAGCCUUGUCAGUACCUGGAUGAGUGACCGCUUGGGAAUGCCAGGUGCU